ACUCCUACGGGAGGCAGCAGUGGGGAAUAUUGCACAAUGGGCGCAAGCCUGAUGCAGCCAUGCCGCGUGUGUGAAGAAGGCCUUCGGGUUGUAAAGCACUUUCAGUUGUGAGGAAAGGUUAGUCGCUAAUAUCGGCUAGCUGUGACGUUAGCAACAGAAGAAGCACCGGCUAACUCCGUGCCAGCAGCCGCGGUAAUACGGAGGAUCCAAGCGUUAUCCGGAAUCAUUGGGUUUAAAGGGUCCGUAGGUGGAUGAUUAAGUCAGAGGUGAAAAUCCUGCAGCUCAACUGUAGAAUUGCCUUUGAUACUGGUUGUCUUGAAUUAUUGUGAAGUAGUUAGAAUAUGUGGUGUAGCGGUGAAAUGCAUAGAUAUCACAUAGAAUACCGAUUUCGAAGGCAGAUUACUAACAAUACAUUGACACUGAUGGACGAAAGCGUGGGGAGCGAACAGGAUUAGAUACCCUGGUAGGAUAGCGU
rnacentral:rRNA from 1 species